GUGGGUGGCAAGCGUUGUCCGGAAUUAUUGGGCGUAAAGCGCGCGCAGGUGGUUCUUUAAGUCUGGAUGUGAAAGCCCCCGGGCUCAACCGGGGAGGGUCAUUGGAAACUGGGGAACUUGAGUGCAGGAGAGGAAAGUGGAAUUCCACGUGUAGCGGUGAAAUGCGUAGAUAUGUGGAGGAACACCAGUGGCGAAGGCGACUUUCUGGCCUGUAACUGACACUGAGGCGCGAAAGCGUGGGGAGCAAACAGGAUUAGAUACCCUGGUAGUCCACGCCGUAAACGAUGAGUGCUAAGUGUUGGGGGGUUUCCGCCCCUCAGUGCUGCAGCUAACGCAUUAAGCACUCCGCCUGGGGAGUACGGUCGCAAAGACUG
rnacentral:rRNA from 1 species